rnacentral:misc_RNA from 1 species
GAUGAAGAACGCAGCGAAAUGCGAUAAGUAGUGUGAAUUGCAGAAUUCCGUGAAUCAUCGAAUCUUUGAACGCACAUUGCGCCCCCUGGCAUUCCUAGGGGCAUGCCUGUUCGAGCGUCAUUAACAACCAUCAAGCGGGACCUGUCUGCCUCGCUUGGCCAUGGGGGAUGGCCGCCCUCGGGGCGCCCACCCCCGAAAUACAACGGCGGACAGUCACCACGGGGCACCCGGGCGUAGUAAGUUGCUCUCUCGCCCGCGCCCACGGAAUGGACUGUCCGGCCGGUCGAACCCCCAACAUCCAAUGGUUGACCUCGGAUCAGGUAGGGAUACCCGCUGAACUUAAGCAUAUCAAUAAGCGGAGGA